rnacentral:rRNA from 1 species
AGUGAACGCUGGCGGUAGGCCUAACACAUGCAAGUCGAACGGCAGCACAGUAAGAGCUUGCUCUUACGGGUGGCGAGUGGCGGACGGGUGAGGAAUACAUCGGAAUCUACUUUUUCGUGGGGGAUAAUGUAGGGAAACUUACGCUAAUACCGCAUACGACCUACGGGUGAAAGCAGGGGAUCUUCGGACCUUGCGCGAUUGAAUGAGCCGAUGUCGGAUUAGCUAGUUGGCGGGGUAAAGGCCCACCAAGGCGACGAUCCGUAGCUGGUCUGAGAGGAUGAUCAGCCACACUGGAACUGAGACACGGUCCAGACUCCUACGGGAGGCGGCAGUGGGGAAUAUUGGACAAUGGGCGCAAGCCUGAUCCAGCCAUACCGCGUGGGUGAAGAAGGCCUUCGGGUUGUAAAGCCCUUUUGUUGGGAAAGAAAAGCAGCAGGUUAAUACCCCGCUGUUCUGACGGUACCCAAAGAAUAAGCACCGGCUAACUCCGUG